rnacentral:lncRNA from 1 species
GCCUCUCCCCGCCAACCCUGCCCGGAGCGCCAGCGAUGCCCUCUGCCCGCGGGGACCCGAGCCUCGCGCGCCCUCCGCCCUCCCUACCCUGGCCCCUGUACCCAUCACACCUGGGGCACUGCCGUCCGCCGAGCUUGGGCGCGCGGCGGCGAGAAGGCACUGGAGGAGGAGAAGCAGCCGGGGCGUAGGCGCCCUCGCCCCCAGCAGGCCGGGGAGGGCGCGCAUGGCGCCAGAGGGUCCGCCUCAGUUCUCGUGGAGACUGCUCCCUCAGCUCGCCGCCGCGGGUGUCCGGAAUCCCUCCGCACACUCGCAGGUGGCCCGGCACCCGCAGCCAGUGCCGCGGGCAGGACGCUGAAGAAAAGGCGGAAUGGGAGGGGCCCGGCCGCCUUGCCCUACUCCCCGAGACGCUCUUACCGCGCCCGGCCUUCCAUCAGUUAUGCAGCCCUCAGCCCGCUGCUGGCGUUCCCGGAUGUGCGGUGCUACUCCCGGCUGCAGCCUCUCCGGCCUCCGCCCUCUAGGCUCUAGCAGGUCGGGAGAGAGCUUGGGCAGGUGAUGUGUAGCCCAUCGCGUGGGGAGAGGUUGAAACUAUCCCUGCAGACUGGCCUUUGCACUUCAUCUGAGGCAGAUUUCACUAAUUUUCGUUGAUGGGACAGAUGAGAGACACUUUCCUCCUCCCCGACCCCGGACAUCUUUGGGCUUUCUUAUGAGGGAGGCUUAUUUUUGCGCAGGUGUAAGGUUUUAUCCAGCUGCCAGACAACUUGUACUGAUCUUUCUUUGCUUUGCCUACUAAUCACACACACCCUCUCUUCUAGCCUGUGAAGACUUAACUGAUUUUCUACGGAUGAAGGUUUCAGUGUCCCAAGGCCCCAUACCGUAUCUGAUUUUACUUUAUUUUUGUUUGUUAAGCCUAACAGCUUCUGAGGAGCCACGUAGAGCUCAAGAAGCAAAAGCUACUGAGAGUAGAUGCUAUGUAAACUGCACAAGACGUUGACCUUUGUUAAAUCCGAACACUGUUUAAGAUAAUGCUAUCUCUUACCCACGAGGCUGUAGCUUGGAAUAUUCAGUGCUCUGAACCAAAUUAAAUAAAUUAGUGCUUUAUCCGGGAGGGGAGGAGAAAUCUAUGUUGUAACAUUGAAACACAUUGAUUUGAUUUCUCUCCAGGAUGUUAUAACGCAUUAAAAGAUAUUUUAAAUAUUUUUCA